rnacentral:rRNA from 1 species
GAUGAACGCUGGCGGCGUGCCUAAUACAUGCAAGUCGAGCGAACAGACGAGGAGCUUGCUCCUCUGACGUUAGCGGCGGACGGGUGAGUAACACGUGGAUAACCUACCUAUAAGACUGGGAUAACUUCGGGAAACCGGAGCUAAUACCGUAUAAUAUAUUGAACCGCAUGGUUCAAUAGUGAAAGACGGCUUUGCUGUCUCUUAUAGAUGGAUCCGCGCCGUAUUAGCUAGUUGGUAAGGUAACGGCUUACCAAGGCAACGAUGCGUAGCCGACCUGAGAGGGGGAUCGGCCACACUGGAACUGAGACACGGUCCAGACUCCUACGGGAGGCAGCAGUAGGGAACCUUCCGCAAUGGGCGAAAGCCUGACGGAGCAACGCCGCGUGAGUGAUGAAGGUCUUCGGAUCGUAAAACUCUGUUAUUAGGGAAGAACAAAUGUGUAAGUAACUAUGCACGUCUUGACGGUACCUAAUCAGAAAGCCCCGGCUAACUACGUG